GGGGGUGUAGCUCAGUGGUAGACAGCGUGCUUAGCAUGCAUGAGGUCCUGGGUUCAAUUCCCAGCACCUCCG